UUUUAUUAGUAUUAUUAGCUAUAAUCUUUAAAUUAAAAGAAUUUGACGGUAAUUUAUCAUUUCAGAGGAACCUGUCCUUUAAUCGAUACUCCACGCUAAAUUUUACCUUAAUUUUUGCUUAUAUACCUCUGUUGUCAGAGUGUUUUAUUAGGAAAUUAUUCUCUUAUAUUUUAUUAAAUUAUAUAUCAGGUCAAGGUUUAGUUAUAUUAAGGUUGAGAUGGGUUACAAUUAUUUUAUAAUAUUGGAUUUUAUUUUUUAUUUGAUUAAAUGAAAUUGGAUUUGAUUGUAAUAUGUAUUAUAUAUUAUAUAUGAUAUUUGUUCUAGAUUAAG
rnacentral:rRNA from 1 species